UGAAAUAUCGUGCUAUUGAUUUUUUCCAACUGUUUUACAAUGAUUCUGUGUUUGAACAGAUUAUCAGUGCGACGAAUGAGAAUGCAGCCUACAGGUGAACGAGCGAUCACAACAACAACAAAGAUCAAUCUGUGAUAUCUUCUCUGUGAUGUCAUUCUUAUAGGAGCUGUGGUUCAAUGUUCAGAUGUGCAUGAAGAGAAUUUACCUGUAACACCUGGGAUUA